rnacentral:rRNA from 1 species
CCUACGUGUGGCAGCAGUGAGGAAUAUUGGUCAAUGGACGAGAGUCUGAACCAGCCAAGUAGCGUGAAGGAUGACUGCCCUAUGGGUUGUAAACUUCUUUUAUAUGGGAAUAAAAUGUUCCACGUGUGGGAUUUUGUAUGUCCCAUAUGAAUAAGGAUCGGCUAACUCCGUGCCAGCAGCCGCGUUAAUACGGAGGAUCCGGGCGUUUUCAGGAUUUAUUGGGUUUAAGGGGAUCGUAGGUGGAUUGUUAAGUCAGUUGUGAAAGUUUGCGGCUCAACCGUAAAAUUGCAGUUGAAAAUGGCAGUCUUGAGUACAGUAGAGGUGGGCGGAAUGCGUGGUGUAGCGGUGAAAUGCUUAGAUAUCACGAAGAACUCCGAUUGCGAAGGCAACUCACUGGACUGCAACUGACACUGAGGCUCGAAAGUGUGGGUAUCAAACAGGAUUGGAUACCCCAGUAGUC